rnacentral:rRNA from 1 species
CAGCAGCCGCGGUAAUACGGAGGGUGCAAGCGUUAAUCGGAAUUACUGGGCGUAAAGCGCACGCAGGCGGUCUGACAAGUCAGAUGUGAAAUCCCCGGGCUUAACCUGGGAACUGCAUUUGAAACUGUCAGGCUGGAGUCUUGUAGAGGGGGGUGGAAUUCCAGGUGUAGCGGUGAAAAGCGUAGAGAUCUGGAGGAAUACCGGUGGCGAAGGCGGCCCCCUGGACAAAGACUGACGCUCAGGUGCGAAAGCGUGGGGAGCAAACAGGAUUAGAGACCCGGGUAGUCCCUGUCUCUUAUAC